ensembl:lncRNA novel transcript
AAGAUGAUCUGUAUUUUCUCUCUAAAGCAGAGUUCAUUUGCUGAGAAUGAUGGAGAAAAUCAGCAUCUAGCUAAUCAGCUGACCAUGAGAUGCAGAGAUUAUCUGGAAUUAUCCAGAUUGGUCCAUUUAAUUACAUGAGUCCUUAAAAGUGGAAAGUGGAAGAAGAGGCAGAAGAGUGUGUCAGAGAGAUGCUGUGUGAAAAGGACUCAACCUGCCACUUGAGGCUUUGAGGCUGGAGAAAGGGGCCAUGAACCAAGGAUUGUGAGCAGCCUGUAAAAUCUGGAAAAGACAAGGCAAUACCCUUUGCUGUCUCAGGGUCAAACAUGCAACUCCUGCCUGCUUGUAUGGCCAGCUGGGUUCAAGAAGGAAGGAACCUCAUUGUUGACAGUUACCAGAUGAAUGUGCCCCUUCUGUACAGCUAAGAAAUGGAAUAGACAUUGGUUGUCCUGGCAAGAAGUCAAGGUUCGUUGCACCUGAAGAAGGGGGACCUGCAGCAGAAUCUAAACUGGGCUCAGCUUAACUAAAUGCCCGACAAUUCUGUCUCUCUCCACUGGUUCUGCGUUCACAUCAGCACUGAGUAUUGGGCAUGAGAUCUGACUAUUCAAAGAGGGUGACUAAUACAAGCCAGAAAUUCAGGCACUUGUGAGGAAGAGUUGACCAAUGAAGAAUAGGAGACGUGAGGACUUGUUUUCUAGUCCACUUCCCAUCCAGCUCCCAACUGCUCCAACACGGAGGUGCUCCAUAUGGCCUGCUAUGCUUCCUGUGAGGCAAUGCCAGCUUCACACUGACCCACAUUGUUUUUACUUUUCUGGCUUCCCUGCCUCAGUUUCCUAUUUCUCUCACUCUUGCUGCCCUGGGAUUGCAUACCCUCCGCUCAGCCUGCUCAUUCUCCCCAACAAAGCAGUAAGAGCCAAGCUUUACCUUUUUUGCUGUUACAAAUAAUGUCCCCCCAAAAUAUUUUUACAAAUACUUCUGUAUGCUCAUGUUCAAAUAUUUCUUGGGGAUAACGAAGUACUAUGAGUGAGGUUGCUGGGGGUGAAUGUUGCACACAUUGCAAAUUUUACUAGAUAUUCCUAAGCCUUGCAUCUCUCAUCAUGUACAGGCUUUUACUGUGACUCAUUUUACCUAUACUUCCAACAGCACUGGAUGUUAUAAAAAAAAAAUUUAUACUUCAUGCCAAGUUCACACGUGAAAAAUAGCAUUUUACUUUUUUUUAAAUUUGUGUUUUGUUAAUUCAGGAGGACAAAUAGCUUUCUGUUUUUUUACUGGCCACUAAAAUUUCUUCUUCUAAAAGAUUCCGUUUGUAUUGUUUUCUUUUGGUAGCAUAUAUGCCACACAUAUGAUGUAGUAUAUGGGAUUAUUUUACCCUAUUUGGCCCUUUGCUACUGAGGUACUAUUUUAAAAAAACAUUGAUUUUAUAAUUGAUUAUUAUUAGCACAUAAUUAUUUUUCUUGUAUGUUCCUAGUUUUACUAUCAAGUGGAUGUUUCAACUUGAUUCUAUGUUUAAUACAGCUCAGCACUUACCAUCAUUUUUUAAUAUUAUCAUUGUUCAUUCUUAAGUUCCUAAUUUUAGUUAAUUCCUUGGUUGCCAAAAAACCCAAACAAAAAAACAAGAAAAAACUGACCCAAAACAAAUAAACAAAAAUCAAAACUUUUAAAAUAUCUUUACAUUUGGAUAUAUAACUUUAAAGAUUUUUAUGCAUAUUACAUAUUUGUAAAGAUAUGUAAAUAUAUUUUAAAUGGCUUAAAUUAUGUGUAUUUUAUUUUUUUUAAAUUACUAAUUGACAAAUAAUGAUUGCAUGUAUUUAUGAGGCAUAAUAUGAUAUUUUAACAGCUAUUGUUUUAUAACCUCUGUUUCUACUUAAACUUGUAAUGCAAACAUUUUUUGAGUAUGUCUUUUUUUUAAUAAAUGUUAUAAGGGUGGUAUAUUUCUGAACCUUUGAGUAUCUAAGAAUGUGCUUCAGUUGGCUUCACAGAUGAAUAAUAACUUGGCUGAGUUUUAAAUUAUUGGCUCAAAAAGUUUUCUCCCAACUGCUUUUGCCAAUUUUUAUUGCAGAAAAAAAAGCUGUGUAAGCUGUCCUGUUUCUUUACUUUUAUCAUGUAAAAUUUUAGUGUAGUUUGUAUUUAUUUUUAUGGAUUUAUUCUGAUGUUCGAUGUAACUUUUCUAGUUGUUUAUAAGCUAAAUUCUCUUUUUUCCUUUGGAUUUUUUUCCCCCUAGAUGUUCUUAUUGAGGAUCAUUAUAUCAUAGUAACUAACAUUUGACUUUGGGGUCAAAUGACCUUGAUUAUAAUUGCUCUCUCCAUACGAACUUUGUGACCUUGGGCUAGUCAUUUUAACCUCUUCUAAGUUGGUUUUAAUAUGUAUACCUAUAGGAAUGAGUUGUUGAGCAAAUUAAAUGUGCAGCAUGUAUAUUUUUUUUUUGGUAAAACGCUUUGAAAGAUGUUCUGAUGCUAUGAAAGAUGUUAAGUAUUGUUGCUCAUUUAGACAUUCAUUACCUCUCCUACAUAUCUAUCUUUUAGUUUUCUUCUUUUUCUACAAUAUUUCAGGAGACUGUUUUAACAUGUUUACUGCAUCACCAAUUUGAGUUCCUACAGUGCUGAUAGUGCCAUUUAUGCCUUCCAAUGUGGAUUUUAUCUCUGUUAUUGCGUUUUAGCUUAAGAAAGCAGUCAUUCCUCAUUUCAUCUGUAUCUCUUUCCUAUGAUUCUGCUGGUUUUUAAUCUCACUCUUAUGGCUUUCUUUUCUAUUUUAUAAGUGUUCUGACUUCUUUUGUUCUAAUUAAGAUAACAAAUAUGUACAGUUUAAGCCCGGCUCACGCCUGUAAUCCCUGCACUUUGGUAGAACAAGGUAGGUGGACCACUUGAGGUCAGGAGUUUGAGACCAGCCUGGUCAACAUGGUGAAACCCCAUCUCCACUAAAAAUACAAAAAUUAGACAGGCAUGGUGGCACGUACCUGUAGUCCCAGCUACUGGGGAGGCUGAGGCAGGAGAAUCGCUUGAACCGGGUAGGUGGAGUAAGCUGAUAUGGCACCUCUGCGCUCCAGCCUAGGCAACAGAGCCAGACUUCAUCUAGAAAAAAAAAAUUAUAUAUAUACAUAUAUAUAGUUUAAAUUUAUGUUCUAAAGUUCUAUUUCUUUACUGGAACUUAAAUUUAAUGUAACCUUCUCCAAGCUGUCAUUCUUUUUUUUGCCCAGAAGUCCAGCUUUUUAUCUUUCUUAUUAGUUUUGUUUUUCUAUUCACUCACUUUUGGUGUUUGUCAGCACACUGGAUGUGUGCCUCUCCCUUUGGCUUCAGAGUCUGUUUAUUUUAGUGAUGGUUAAUUCUACUUCUCUGUGGCUAUAGUAACUGGUUGGUGUAUGGAGUUCUUUCCCAGUUUUUACUAUCUACAACUGUUUAUCUAGUGUCACUCUCUAAGAUGUAAUUUACUUUUACAUUCCACUGCCUGUAAUGUACACAUGUACAUUAAAAACUAUAUUCUGCAAUAUAUCCUUCUCCCACAAAUCUUGUCUCCACCUAUACCUGUAGUGACUUACUUGUAUGCCUUCUAGAAUUAAAGAAGUACACCUUCUAGAAUUAAAUGUGCCAUUAAUAUUAUGCCCACACUAUAUUGCCUGCACAGUUCUAAACUUGGAGGCUUAGACCAGAGUUGAACAGGGAGCUCCUAAUGGUGAGGUUAGGUGGUGGAGGUGGGAAGGAGCCUCUACUGGCUUCUCAAACCUGUGCCUACUGUCAGGGAUAUUGUGUGCUCCCCUCUGCAUAGUAUAUUUUUGAUCCAAUGAGUUGUGAUUAAUUUCCUAUCCAAAGUAUCUACUAGAUUGCUUAACAUACAGUAGGUACUAAUAAAUGUAUAUUCCUUUCUCCUUUCUGGUGGGCAGCCAUACUUAGACUCUGGCAGUGCCCUUGACUUAUUAUUUCUAAAUGCGUUCUGAAUUCUAGUAUAGUUUACUGUCCUUCUUAAUUACCAGUUUUUUUAAUCAUCCUUUCAUGUUUUUAUAGAUGGUAGUGAGAAGAUUUAUCAGAGACUUCCAGCCUUUUUAUAAUGAAUUAUUUAUUUUUUAAAAAAAUUUUGCUCUGAUGUCCCUAGGGAAGAUGCACCAAUGGGGAGUGACUUUGAGGAAGCAAAAAUUGUUAGUGGGCUAUAUUCAUGAUCCUAACCAAAAAUGAUGAAGGCUUGAACAUUGGUAAGAGAAGAUUACAGAGAAAAGGAUAUGAUAUUCAAGAGAGAUUUGGGAAGUGCAAUAGCAAUGCUUAGUAACUAUACUUGAUGUCUGGAGGAGAUCGUUGAGGAAGAGGAAAGAGCUCACGAUGACUAACAGAUUCUAACAUGCACUAUUAAUUCAAUAGCUUAGUGCAAAGAGCGAGUAGGCUGCAGGGCAGGAAUUUAAAAAAUUUAGUUUUUGAUAUAUUAGACAUUUGAAGCCUGCAGUAUAUCCAUUUGGAAAUGUUCAGGGGUAGUUCUAACUAUGGAUCUGUAUUUCAGGAGAUCAGUCAGGGCAGGAGAUAUGGUUUUGAGAGUUACCAGCAUAUGGAAGUAGGAUUAGAGGGAAUGAAUAUGCUGCAUAGGAAGGAACAGAUGCCAGGAAAAGGCAAGACUGUAGGCAGGGAGAUCAGUUAGAAAAUUGCAAUAAUCCAGGAAAGAAAUGAUAACUGACUUUACCAAAACAGUAACAAAGCAAAUGGAGGGAAGGAUCGAUCAUGUUUCAGUAAGCUUACUGUAAAUGCGCAGUCAAGAACAAGGUAGGGAGGUAGGAGGAAAUCAUCUGCUGGGCUGUGGCAAGUGGGAUAGAACAUAGAGCCUAAGAAAAGUUGUGAAAAUUUGGAAGGGCUAACAUGAGCAAACAGGAGUGAUGGGGCAGACACCAGGGUCAAGCAAAACAUCAUAGGUCCAGCUGAGGCCAGAAACCAUAAAAUUGUAGGGGGCAACAAUUUUCACAAUGAAUGGUUUUCUCCUUGUUUCCUGAGUGUACAAAGCAAAAAGCUAGAUUUCUUGCAUUGAAACAAAUUUGGAGGCUUUCCAAAUGGGCACUGCAAAAGCACCAUGGACUGUAAACUGGUAACAACAUAAUAAAAGUGUUACGGGGGUAUAGGCUGUACACAGGAGCAACUAAAACAGUGCGUGUGAGGUGGGAUAGUUAAUAUUCUAGGAGAGAAAAGCUGGGUAAAGGGACCAGAGACCUUAAUUUGGUUGAAGAUUGGGUAUCUUAGCUUUUGUAAAAUACGUUUGGAUGAGGUAUGAGUUGCAGUAAGUGAUGAAAAUUUCAUUUACAUAUCCUCUUCCCAUCUCAGGCUGCUCCAGAUAUUAAGCACAGAUCACAUAGGAAUGAAUAUAAAGUGGCUUUACUCUCUGAAGCCAAGGACAAUGUACUUUAGAACAUG